rnacentral:rRNA from 1 species
UACGUAGGGGGCUAGCGUUGUCCGGAAUCAUUGGGCGUAAAGAGCGCGUAGGCGGCCCGAUAAGUCUGCUGUGAAAGUCCAGGGCUCAACCCUGGAAUGCCAGUGGAUACUGUCGGGCUAGAGUACGGAAGAGGCGAGUGGAAUUCCUGGUGUAGCGGUGGAAUGCGCAGAUAUCAGGAGGAACACCAAUAGCGAAGGCGGGUCUCUGGGCCGAUACUGACGCUGAGGAGCGAAAGCGUGGGGAGCGAACAGG